GUGGCUGUCUCCAUAUGGGUACAGCACUAAGUAGUGUGCUGCCACCACGGACUCCACACAUAGUGAGGCUGGAUCCUGCCGACAGGGCCUGGAAAGACGUUGGUUUUCCUGUGCGAUGGUUCCACACAUU